rnacentral:rRNA from 1 species
UACGGGGGGGGCAAGCGUUGUUCGGAAUUACUGGGCGUAAAGGGCGCGUAGGCGGCCUGCUAAGUCGGACGUGAAAUCCCUCGGCUCAACCGGGGAACUGCGUCCGAUACUGGCGAGGCUUGAAUCCGGGAGAGGGAUGUGGAAUUCCAGGUGUAGCGGUGAAAUGUGUAGAUAUCUGGAGGAACACCAGUGGCGAAGGCGGCAUCCUGGACCGGUAUUGACGCUGAGGCGCGAAAGCUAGGGUAGCAAACGGG